rnacentral:misc_RNA from 1 species
GAUGAAGAACGCAGCGAAAUGCGAUAAGUAGUGUGAAUUGCAGAAUUCCGAGAAUCAUCGAAUCUUUGAACGCACAUUGCGCCCGCCAGCACUCUGGCGGGCAUGCCUGUUCGAGCGUCAUUUCAACCAUCAAGCCCCAGGCUUGCGUUGGAGCCCUGCGGCUGCCGCAGCCUCCUAAAAGCAGUGGCGGGCUCGCUAUCACACCGAGUGCAGUAGAUUACUCUUCGCUCAGGGCGUGCAGCGGGUUCCGGCCGUGAAACCCCCUACUUUUAAAGGUUGACCUCGGAUCAGGUAGGAAUACCCGCUGAACUUAAGCAUAUCAAUAAGCGGAGGA